rnacentral:rRNA from 1 species
UACGUAGGGUGCAAGCGUUGUUCGGAAUUACUGGGCGUAAAGCGCGCGUAGGCGGAUUGGAAAGUCGAUUGUGAAAUCCCUGGGCUUAACCUGGGAAUUGCAGUCGAAACUCCCAAUCUUGAGUGCCUGAGAGGAUGGCGGAAUUCCCGGUGUAGUAGUGAAAUACGUAGAUAUCGGGAAGAACACCUGAGGCGAAGGCGGCUAUCUGGCGGUGCACUAACGCUGAGGCGCGAAAGCGUGGGGAGCAAACAGG